GGGCACGUUGGAAGUCCGAGCUGAGGAAGCCAGCAAGGGAGAGUACAGAGGUUGGAGACUGCUCUCGUUUCCCUGAGCUCUGGGCCGCCAGGGCCUGUGUUUGAGACGCCUGUGACCCCAGGGCCCAGCGUGCACCUGGCACAGGGCGGCCGUCAGUGGCUGAAGUCAGCUGAGAACCCGCCGAGAGCACCCGGGUCAGUAGGCAAGACCAGCCUCUGUGGCACGAUGUUCCCCUUUGCAGGGCAUGUGUCCUGGGGCAAACCCAUCCUAUGGCAAACUCCCCCGGUUCCCCUGGGCUUGGUGCUCUAGGUCUCCGCCACACGGCCCAGCCAGGUUCGGUAAAACGUGUGGUCUUACUUCUCUGCCCUGACCAAAGAUCUUAGUUUUCAAAAUGCCUUUAUUUUUUUAUUUUUUUUUAAAUAUUUUAUUUAUUUACUCAUGAGAGACACACAGAGGCAGAGACACAGGCAGAGGGAGAAGCAGGCUCCAUGCAGGGAGCCCGAUGGGGAACUCGAUCCCGGGACCCCAAGAUCAUGCCCUGGGCCGUAGGCAGGCGCCAAACCACUGAGCCCCCCGCCCAGGGACCCCCCUCAAAAUGUCUUUAAAGCAGGAUUCUAGAAUGUUAGUGUCAGAAGAGCCCCUAGUGGUCCUGUGCCCACCCACUGUCUACAGCUGGGACGCCGAGGCCCCGGGGGACAGGACGCCCCCAGGUUGUGUGGGCAGGUAAGCGGGGCUGCGAUUCCAGCCAUCGUUUUCUCCACGGGCCCCGUGCUCCGUCCUCCACCCCAGACGGAGGGAAAGCGAAGUCCCUUCCCCGCACUUGCUGCAAAGGGCCAGGAGCUUGGGGUCCGAGGGCUCGUGGGAAGCGGAAAGGAUUGCAAGAAGGGCUGGAGAAGGGGUCUGGUGAACCCCAAGGCGCGGAACGACCGAGAGCAGCUGUGCCACUGAGCUGCGCACCUGACUUCCUAGUCUGGGCCUGGGUUUCCUCCCGGGAGCCCUUGAGUGGUAGAAUGCCCUCCCGGACGGGGAACAGAAGUGACACAAGCCCAGCUCCUUUCCGUGACAUCUCCUG
rnacentral:lncRNA from 1 species